rnacentral:rRNA from 1 species
ACGACUCGCGGCAACGGAUAUCUCGGCUCUCGCAUCGAUGAAGAACGCAGCAANNCUGCGAUACUGGUGUGAAUGCAGAUCCACGUGAACCAUCGAGUCUUUGACGCAAGUUGCGCCCGAGGCCAUUAGGCCGAGGGCACGUCUGCCUGGGCGUCACG